rnacentral:rRNA from 1 species
AUUGAACGCUGGCGGCAGGCCUAACACAUGCAAGUCGAACGAGUGGCGGACGGGUGAGUAAUGUCUGGGAAACUGCCUGAUGGAGGGGGAUAACUACUGGAAACGGUAGCUAAUACCGCAUACCAUCGGAUGUGCCCAGAUGGGAUUAGCUAGUAGGUGGGGUAAAGGCUCACCUAGGCGACGAUCCCUAGCUGGUCUGAGAGGAUGACCGGCAACACUGGAACUGAGAAACGGUCCAGCCUCCUCCGGGAGGAAGCAGUGGGGAAUAUUGCACAAUGGGCGCAAGCCGGAGGCAGCCAUGCCGCGUGUAUGAAGAAGGCCUUCGGGUUGUAAAGUACUUUCAGCGGGGAGGCGUUACCCGCAGAAGAAGCACCGGCUAACUCCGUGCCAGCAGCCGCGGUAAUAC